GGAGAAGGGCCAUAGCUCAGUGGUAGAGCAUGUGUCUUGCAAGCAGAAGGUCCCUGGUUCAAUCCCUGGCACCUCCA
rnacentral:tRNA from 1 species